UGUGUGUGUGUGUGUGUGAGGGCGAGUACAGUCGCUCUUUGUUCAGCAGGGUGGAGGUUUUUCUUUUUUUCGUGGCUGCGGUGGUGACGAGCGUCCUGAUGAGAGACCUUCACUGCUCCCCCGACACCUUUUUGGAAACCUUUGAUUCCGACCCGCCUGAUUUGCGGCUCGUCCCGGGACUUUCUGUCGCAUCAUUUUCAUCCUGCAGAUCUUUGAUUUCAUGGAGAAUAAUCGUCAGGAUUUUACUGACGGUUUUACGUCCUAUUGUCACUCCCACAUCAACAAACGCAGCAGCUUAGUCAGAGGCUUUACUCAUCCCAUUAUCACGCAGAGCUCUCAGGACUUCGGCUGCUUCAUGGUCUUGAUGUGGCCUGAUGUCAGAGACGGAGGAGGACAGUCUGAGGAGGUCCAUGUGACCUUCAUCCAGCAGAAAACCCGAUUCAUGCUGAUGGAGAAGUUUGGAGAUUUCAUCUAGAAGCUGUUUUCUGCGGUGGUCGAGAACGACCACUGCUGCAAAUAAAGAAGAAAACAACAGAAGUUACCGAUGCAAAAAUAAAAAGUUAGUUACUGUUAAAAUAAAUGGAUGAAAAUAAAAAAGGUCAAAAUGAAA